GAUGAACGCUAGCGGCAGGCCUAACACAUGCAAGUCGAGGGGUAGCAGGAUUAAGCUUGCUUAAUUGCUGACGACCGGCGCACGGGUGCGUAACGCGUAUGCAACCUACCUUAUACUGGGGUAUAGCCCGGAGAAAUUCGGAUUAAUCCCCCAUAGUACUAAUGAAUCGCAUGGUUUAUUAGUUAAAGCAUUGCGGUAUAAGAUGGGCAUGCGUCCUAUUAGCUAGAUGGUGAGGUAACGGCUCACCAUGGCUACGAUAGGUAGGGGGCCUGAGAGGGUGGUCCCCCACACUGGUACUGAGACACGGACCAGACUCCUACGGGAGGCAGCAGUGAGGAAUAUUGGUCAAUGGGCGCAAGCCUGAACCAGCCGUGCCGCGUGCAGGAAGAAUGCCCUAUGGGUUGUAAACUGUUUUUAUUUGGGAAUAAACCUCUUUACGUGUAGAGAGCUGAAGGUACCAAAUGAAUAAGCACCGGCUAACUCCGUGCCAGCAGCCGCAGUAA
rnacentral:rRNA from 1 species